GAACACUGCCACACUCGCUGCCCUGGCCUCCAACUUCAACUUCUCCCAUACCUCACGACCCAACAGAUGAGGGGGUGGUACAGGUCAACUAGGGAAGUUCAUCGAUGAAUUUGACAUGCUACUGUCCACCAUCCCAGAUGAUGGAACUCCUCUUCUGGUCCUUGGUGAUUUCAACAUUCAUCUAGACAAGCCACAUGCAGCUGACUUUCUUGCUCUCCUUCCCACAUUUGACCUUAAGCAGUUCACCACACCAGCAACCCACAAAGCCAGCAAACAGCUUGACCUCAUCCUCACACAACCUCCUGGACACCAAGCAGGCUGGCUUCAAGAGCAACCACUCCACAGAGACUGCUCUGCUUUCCGUCACUGAAGCCUUACGACUAGCAUGAGCAACCUCUAGAUCAUCUAUCCUCAUCCUACUUGACCUCUCUGCUGCUUUCGACACUGUGAACCAUCAGAUACUCCUGUCAACUCUCUCCACCCUGGACAUCACUGGAACGGUUCUGCGCUGUGUGGAAUCCUAUCUCUCAGACAGAUCCUUCAAGGUAUCAUGGAGGGGAGGUAUUUCUGAAACUCAGAAACCUUUACCUUUACAACAUCAAGAAAAUCCGACCCUACAUCACGAACAGGCUACACGGAUACUAGUCCAGGCUCUUGUUAUCUCUAAACUGGACUACUGCAACUCACUGCUUUCAGGCCUCCCAGCCAGCUCCAUCAAACCCCUUGAGAUGAUUCAAAAUGCUGCAGCGCGCCUCGUCUUCAACCAGCCCAAGAGAAC
ensembl:lncRNA